AUUAGCUAGUUGGUGAGGUAACGGCUCACCAAGGCGACGAUGCAUAGCCGACCUGAGAGGGUGAUCGGCCACAUUGGGACUGAGACACGGCCCAAACUCCUACGGGAGGCAGCAGUAGGGAAUCUUCGGCAAUGGACGAAAGUCUGACCGAGCAACGCCGCGUGAGUGAAGAAGGUUUUCGGAUCGUAAAACUCUGUUGUUAGAGAAGAACAAGGAUGAGAGUAACUGUUCAUCCCUUGACGGUAUCUAACCAGAAAGCCACGGCUAACUACGUGCCAGCAGCCGCGGUAAUACGUAGGUGGCAAGCGUUGUCCGGAUUUAUUGGGCGUAAAGCGAGCGCAGGCGGUUUCUUAAGUCUGAUGUGAAAGCCCCCGGCUCAACCGGGGAGGGUCAUUGGAAACUGGGAGACUUGAGUGCAGAAGAGGAGAGUGGAAUUCCAUGUGUAGCGGUGAAAUGCGUAGAUAUAUGGAGGAACACCAGUGGCGAAGGCGGCUCUCUGGUCUGUAACUGACGCUGAGGCUCGAAAGCGUGGGGAGCAAACAGGAUUAGAUACCCUGGUAGUCCACGCCGUAAACGA
rnacentral:rRNA from 1 species